AUUGAACGCUGGCGGCAUGCUUUACACAUGCAAGUCGAACGGCAGCACGGGCUUCGGCCUGGUGGCGAGUGGCGAACGGGUGAGUAAUGCAUCGGAACGUGCCCAUGUUGUGGGGGAUAACUACGCGAAAGCGUGGCUAAUACCGCAUACGCCCUGAGGGGGAAAGCGGGGGAUUCUUCGGAACCUCGCGCAAUUGGAGCGGCCGAUGUCAGAUUAGCUUGUUGGUGAGGUAAAGGCUCACCAAGGCGACGAUCUGUAGCGGGUCUGAGAGGAUGAUCCGCCACACUGGGACUGAGACACGGCCCAGACUCCUACGGGAGGCAGCAGUGGGGGAAUUUUGGACAAUGGGGGCAACCCUGAUCCAGCCAUGCCGCGUGAGUGAAGAAGG
rnacentral:rRNA from 1 species